ACGCUGGCGGCGUGCCUAAUACAUGCAAGUAGAACGCUGAAGGAGGAGCUUGCUUCUCUGGAUGAGUUGCGAACGGGUGAGUAACGCGUAGGUAACCUGCCUGGUAGCGGGGGAUAACUAUUGGAAACGAUAGCUAAUACCGCAUAAUAUUGAUUAUUGCAUGAUAGUCAAUUAAAAGGUGCAAUUGCAUCACUACCAGAUGGACCUGCGUUGUAUUAGCUAGUUGGUGAGGUAACGGCUCACCAAGGCAACGAUACAUAGCCGACCUGAGAGGGUGAUCGGCCACACUGGGACUGAGACACGGCCCAGACUCCUACGGGAGGCAGCAGUAGGGAAUCUUCGGCAAUGGACGGAGGUCUGACCGAGCAACGCCGCGUGAGUGAAGAAGGUUUUCGGAUCGUAAAGCUCUGUUGUAAGAGAAGAACGAGUGUGAGAGUGGAAAGUUCACACUGUGACGGUAUCUUACCAGAAAGGGACGGCUAACUACGUGCCAGCAGCCGCGGUAAUACGUAGGUCCCGAGCGUUGUCCGGAUUUAUUGGGCGUAAAGCGAGCGCAGGCGGUUAGAUAAGUCUGAAGUUAAAGGCUGUGGCUUAACCAUAGUACGCUUUGGAAACUGUUUAACUUGAGUGCAAGAGGGGAGAGUGGAAUUCCAUGUGUAGCGGUGAAAUGCGUAGAUAUAUGGAGGAACACCGGUGGCGAAAGCGGCU
rnacentral:rRNA from 1 species